rnacentral:misc_RNA from 1 species
AACGCACGAGACCUGCGGACCUGCGGAAGGAUCAUUAAUGAGAAGCUGCCCCUCGUGGGUAGACCUCCCACCCUCUGUGAACUUACCUUUGUUGCUUUGGCAGGCCCGUCCUCUGGACCGCCGGCUUCGGCUGGCCCGUGCCUGCCAGAGGAUUCCAAACCCUGUCUGUCAGUGUUGUCUGAGUCUAUACGAAAUCGUUAAAACUUUCAGCAACGGAUCUCUAGAUCGGAAGAGCACACG